CAAUCGCCCCGGCGAAUUUCAGUAUUUUUUUUAUCGAGCACGCGAUGUUUAUCGAUGAGCACGUGUUAAAUGAAACAAUCAUCACUAUAAUCAGCUGUUUUGUCGAAUGAAAAUAUGAGCGAGCAAAGGAAGCCGUACAGUGGAGCAGCCAGCAUGAGGCCAUUCUCUUGGAGCCGUGGGAGGAAAAUUUCAGUGCGCUGAGCUCUGCCCAAAAGAACUGCCACAUUUAUAAAAAAAUGGAAGAAAAACUUUUGGAAGCAGACUUCAGCGUCACUUGGAAGGAGAUUCGGACGAAGGUGGACAAUCUCAUCCCGUAGGGAUGAAAUAAAAAAAAACUUCAUCUGGAGGUGCACCCUCAAAAUGGCAACAUUUUGACAAGGUGCACCGCAUUCACACAUUGUGUACUUAAUACUGCAGUCGACAAUGAUAUAAGUUGGAAAAACUUUUUGAACAUGGU